rnacentral:rRNA from 1 species
AGAGUUUGAUCCUGGCUCAGGACGAACGCUGGCGGCGUGCCUAAUACAUGCAAGUCGAACGGAAUCCAUCCGGUGGUAACACUGGUGAAGAUUUAGUGGCGAACGGGUGCGUAACACGUGAGCAACCUGCCCCAAAGACUGGGAUAACACCGGGAAACCGAUGCUAAUACCGGAUGCCCCCAUUGGUCCGCAUGGACUGAUGAGGAAAGGAAUCUGCUUUGGGAGGGGCUCGCGGCCUAUCAGCUUGUUGGUGAGGUAACGGCCCACCAAGGCGACGACGGGUAGCUGGUCUGAGAGGACGAUCAGCCCCACUGGGACUGAGACACGGCCCAGACUCCUACGGGAGGCAGCAGUAGGGAAUCUUGCGCAAUGGGCGAAAGCCUGACGCAGCAACGCCGCGUGGGGGAUGAAGGCCUUCGGGUUGUAAA